rnacentral:rRNA from 1 species
AGCAGCCGCGGUAAUUCCAGCUCCAAUAGCGUAUAUUAAAGUUGUUGCAGUUAAAAAGCUCGUAGUUGAAUUUAGGGGUCAGUAGAUUGGUCGUGCCACUGGUAUGCACUGGUCUUACUGGCUCCUCCUUCCUGAUGAACCGUAAUGCCAUUAAUUUGGUGUUGCGGGGAGACUGGACUGUUACUUUGAAAAAAUUAGAGUGUUUAAAGCAGGCUAACGCUUGAAUACAUUAGCAUGGAAUAAUGAAAUAGGACGUUCGAUCUUAUUUUGUUGGUUUCUAAGAUUGACGUAAUGAUUAAUAGGGAUAGUUGGGGGCAUUAGUAUUCAAUUGUCAGAGGUGAAAUUCUUGGAUUUAUUGAAGACUAACUACUGCGAAAGCAUUUGCCAAGGAUGUUUUCAUUAAUCAAGAACGAAAGUUAGGGGAUCGAAGACGAUCAGAUACCGUCGUAGUCUUAACCAUAAACUAUGCCGACUAGGGAUCGGAUGAUGUUAAUUUUAUAAUGA